CUCGGAUUGACAGGUGCUUAGAAGAAGGGGCAGAGGAAUUUAUGGUGAAGCCAAUACGUCUAAGGAUGGUCAAUAAUUUUGUUGACAUGUGCUGUAUUUAAAGCUGAGCAGAGAUUGGAUAUCUGUUGGAGUCAAUCAGGAGAAUAAAGCACAAAGAUUAUUAGAUAUCUUAAUUUAUGAUAGAAGUGGAAAGAAAGGAAGAUGCGUUAUAUUAUUUGACAAAUUGAAUUUUUUU